rnacentral:rRNA from 1 species
GGGCCCGCACAAGCGGAGGAACAUGUGGUUUAAUUCGAUGAUACGCGAGGAACCUUACCUGGGCUUAAAUGUAUAGUGCAUAAUGUGGAAACACAUUUUUCCUUCGGGACUCUUUACAAGGUGCUGCAUGGUUGUCGUCAGCUCGUGCCGUGAGGUGUCGGGUUAAGUCCCAUAACGAGCGCAACCCUCAUCGUUAGUUGCCAACACGUGAAGGUGGGGACUCUAGCGAGACUGCCGGUGUAAACCGUGAGGAAGGUGGGG